rnacentral:lncRNA from 1 species
GGUCACUACAACAACGAGUUGAUAUGUGGAUAUAAGCUUUGUAACAUGCAUAGUACCCACUAAAAAACUUCUUAAGCAACUAAUAUUAUAACAUUAUUCAAGCACUUUUCGAAUUUAUCAAACAAUUUCACAAGACACAUUAAAGCACUGAUAAUGUUUUAACUCUAUCAUGCAUACAGUUACAUUCGAUUUACUAGAAAAACUUCUUCACAAUUGGACGAGCAAUGCAGAUAGCCUCCAAAGGCGUUGCUUUAGGCAUCGUGAUUCCUUUUCCUUCUGUCAUGUCAAUCUCUUCCAUACCUAACCUCUCCCAUUCGAAGCAUUGAAUUAACGUGCUGAGUGUAAGACCCACAACUCGUUGAGCCAGGCCUGCACCUGGACAAGCCCUUCUUCCAAGUCCAAAAGGCAUCAGCUUGAAACUUUCCUUGGCUUUGUUUUCAUACCUCUCAGGUUUAAAACUCAAAGGAUCUUCCCAAAGAUGAGGGUCCCUGUGAAUAGCCCAUGCAUUGACCAAUAACAUGGUGCCGCGAGGGACGUGAUAUCCUCCGAUCUCACAAUCAUCAGAAGACAUGUGUGGGACCAGGAGUGGCGCAGCAGGAUACAGUCGCAGCGUUUCAGAGAUAAUGUUCUGCAGGUAAGGAAGGCUGGAAAUGUCUUGCUCAUCGACUAGGCGUUCUUGCCCGACUUGCUCGUCCAGUUCAAUUCUCGCCUUUGCUAAUAUGUUGGGGUUGUUGAGAAGGUUUGACAUUGCCCACUCUAAUGUUACUGCUGAUGUGUCGGUUCCUGCCAAUAACAUGACCUGACAACGUAACAUAUAUAUUUAAUUAAUUUACAGAUAAUUAGUAAAACUGAAUAUAUAUAUAUAUAUAUCAGUGGUCACUUCACUUGACAAAUAAACUCUUAAAAAUAAAUAAUUAUAUUGGAUAUGAUAAAUGGAAAGAAUAAUCAACCAAGAAAAGAUGGAAGAAGCUUACGAGAAUAAGGCCUUUGAUAAUGUGGUCAGUGUAAUAUUCAGGUUGAGAUUCCUGCAAAGCAAGCAAGUGGUCGAUCAUAGUAUUCAUACUCUCCAAAUCCUGCUUCUUACUCCGAUGCUCCUCAAUCAAUCCUUGCAAGAACCUGUCCGUUCUCUCAGCCAGCCACGUCACUCUCUUCUCCAAUUUCCCAC